rnacentral:lncRNA from 1 species
AUGAACAUUUUAUUUUAUGGAGAGAGAAUGACAUUAAGUCGAGUUGACAAGUAAAAGAAUAAAACAGAGUUGUGUAUAAAAACUAUAAAGGUUUGAUUCAACAGUAACCCUCUAGUAAAGUAAAUCAUAGAUUAAGCCACUGCUUUUUCUUAGGGAUUCCCCAGAAUCCCAAUAAGUAUAAUCCGCCAAAUUUUUAUUUACCUAUUUUCGUUGAUGUCACCAGAACUUACUUGUAUUGUAAUAUACAGGUACUUCAUGUACCAUGAAAGAUUAUCAUGGUAAUUUCAUUUACGAAAACCUUGUAAUUGUCAUUUCACUUUUGCUAGCAGUUCCUUCUUCAAAGACUGAGGUGGAAAGAUUAUUCAGUGUUCUCAAAUUUAAAAACUGACAAAAGAAACAGGCUUUCUAAUGAAACCCUGAACGGCUUGCUUCAUAGAAAGUUCCCAACUUUGCCAGCAAACAAUUGCUCAAUUUUAGAACCGAACAGUGUUAGGUUGUGCAGCAAAAGAAUAUAAAAGCAAUGCGUCGACUUCCUUGAAAAUUCUAAUCCUAUAGAUCUAUGAUCUUCUGGGGGCGUUUAUAUUAUAUAUACCUACAUUAAAUAAUAUGCUGUGGUUUAUUUUCUGUAUUUUAUUUACGCUUUCUAUAUAAAGGAUUUAUGAAAGUUGUCUAGGAAAUUUUAGGGUAAAUUCAAAAGAAACUAGGGUAAAAUGUGUUAAAAAAAACGUAAGUGGAAACACUGCUUUGAAGUUUUCAAAAUUCCAGGGCCGUAAAACAAUCUCAAAAAAAAAAAAAAAGUUUUCAAAAUGUCGUAACGAUUUAAUUUUUUAAAUCGUUUUUUUUUGGCUUGGUGUGAGUUAUUUUACGUUGUAGUAUUAAUUUAGAGCAACUUUUAGCUUUAUGAGAAUAUUAGACGAUUAGACAUUGAGAAACUCUGUUUUGAAUUCUCUUUAGACAUAACUUGGCUCCAAUACUUUUUUCUUCGUUAGCGUUUCGUAAGCCUGUGUAACUAUUUUCAUUUCUUACAGAAUGUUUAUUAUUAAAAAUCAGCAUGCCUCGAAGAUCGAAAAUGAAAUGCUAUUUCGGAUGCCUUGAUAACGGUGAGUUUACACUAUUUUCCCGGUAUAUUAUUUGCUAACAGAAUUAUUAUUCAUAAUAUAAUUAAAUGAAUUAGCACCAACUAAUGGUCCUUCCUAUUUCUGCUGCCUAGCUAUCAUAUAUGUUAAGUUUUGAUCAAAACAGUCGGUAUUAAGUCUCGUACUAUCACACACACACCUCAGAUAAUAAAAUUGUCUCGAGUGGGUGGAAGUAUUUAUGUUUUGCAACUCAGCGUAUUAUAUGCUUAUUGUCAAGUGGGCCCGAACUAGUUUUUUGGAAUGAUCAAUCAGUCAUGCUUUCCUGUUUAAAUAAAAUACAGCACAAUUGAUCUCACAUCCAAAGUUAGAUGAUGGCAUUCACGUUUUGUUUCCUGGUGUUUGAUAACUAAGUUACACCAAGUGGCCUGUGACCACGUUCAUCCUUCUACCCAAUAUAAAAUAAUGUUUUUAUUUUUGUAGACAAAGGUUUGAUAAUGACAAAAUUUUAUGGAAAAAUUAUAAGGAGCACUAAAAUGUCUGAAACAUGAAAAGAUUGAUGCACUAUAUUUGAACCAGAACGUGUUAUGUAAUAUAUUAAUUUAAGAGAAACUGAUUCAGCAAGGAACGUGAACUCUCAAGGGAUCUUAAUUUUUUUUAAAUAUGUUUAUAAUUGAUAAAUUAAUAAUUGAAAUAGUUCAUAAGAACUAAAUUGAUGCCAAUUUUGUUUUAAAAUAGGUUGUUUAGUUCUUAUAGUUAUAGUAUUACGUUUGAAUAGUUGUAAUUAGUAAGUUAGUAAUAUAUGAAAAUACUGAUAUAAAUUUUUGUAAAUAACCUUUUGUAAAUUCUACGAGAAGAUGAUUUUAAUUAAUGAUCAAAAGUCAACGGUCUUUAAAAGCAUUAUUUGCAAUUAUUUAGAUUAACUGUGGAAUAUAUUUGCUAAGUUGUGUUUUCUGUAUGAGCAGAUAUAAAUGAAAAUGCCCAAACAUGAUUAUGUUUCUUACAUUUUCAUUAUGUGAAAUCAAUAUGCUUGUGACUGAGUAUAUUAAUAAUUUAUUAAAACUUAAGUGAUAGACAGCAACCCCUAUGGCACUGCUGAAGUUUAUAAGCACUGGUGACCACUUAUCAUGGGCCGGGUUGCGUGCUCGUCUGCUGUUGAGUGCAAUAAAAAUUUUCGAAACCCUUUCUAUUAUUUAGAUGUAAUAUUAGUGUACAUUUAAUUUGGAUUAAAAGAUAAAUUUACAUUUUAUGUUUGCAUGUGUAUGUUUAUAAUUCAUUUGCAUGUAACGAACACCAGUUUCUUUUGUAACAAAAUGUAAACUAAUGGUUUGUAAUGAAUGUAAUUAACUUUAAGAUGAUUUUCUUUCAAUCUGCUGUUUGUUUCAUCUAGUAUUACCAAAGCUAAA